UGCAUCAAAAUAAAUUAUAACUAUAAUAUAAACAAAUAAAAAAACAAUUGUUGUCAUAAUAAUACAAACUGGGCCCGGAAUUUGGACUGAAACCAAUAGAUCCAACCCAUUAAAAAGUCUUAGGGUAAAAGCAUGACUCGACCCAAACAGAGACUUUAUCAGAACAAAUUUUUUUUUUAUGUACAACCCAUUUUACAGAAAGCAACUUCAAAUGUCAUGAGCCUGAGCUCUAUCUAACUUUCUGAUUCAAAGCCCCAACUUCUCCAGUUUCAUCUGUUUCAGCUGAACAAGCCCUUUGACUCUGACCAUUGCUUGGAUGGACUUUCUUCAUCACCCGAAACAAACAACCACUAGGCUGAGCCAUUUCAGAUUUAGCUCCGCCCAGCUUGGCUCUUUCUUCUUCUAGCUCCAUCUUCAGCUUCUUCUUGUGGAGGCCUCUGAGCACAUAUGCUUCAGCAAAACCAUAACCUACCGUCGACAUGGCCUAAAAUAUAUAGGUUUUUUUGGUGUUCAAGUGAAGGAAGCAAUGGGGUUUUUUCUAAUUUGAUGUGGUUUGGGGCUUGAGAAGUGAAGCAUUUGGGUUUUCAGAGGGUGAUGAGUGGUAUUUAUAAAGGUUUGGGUUGGCUUGGGGAGCAAGUAGACACGCUUUGCUUCUGCCGGAAGGAAAGCUAACGUGAUGUGACGAAUAUUGACAGUUUAGGUUUCUUUUUCGGUUGAUCGUUGAAUUUUAUCUGUUUGUUUGGUGAGGCCUUUGGACUCCGUGGAGGCAAAGAAAAAAUUGGUUUCUAGGCGG
rnacentral:lncRNA from 1 species